UUUAACGAGAGUUUGAUCCUGGCUCAGGAUGAACGCUGGCGGCGUGCUUAACACAUGCAAGUCGAGCGCGGUCCCUUUGGUGCUUGCACCAGAGAAGACUGAGCGGCGGACGGGUGAGUAACGCGUGGGUAACCUGCCCUAUACACAUGGAUAACAUGCUGAAAAGCAUACUAAUACAUGAUAACGUACACUGAUGGCAUCUUCGGUGUAUCAAAGCGUUAGCGGUAUAGGAUGGACCCGCGUCUGAUUAGCUAGUUGGUGGGGUAAAAGCCUACCAAGGCCACGAUCAGUAGCCGACCUGAGAGGGUGAUCGGCCACAUUGGAACUGAGACACGGUCCAAACUCCUACGGGAGGCAGCAGUGGGGAAUAUUGCACAAUGGGCGAAAGCCUGAUGCAGCAACGCCGCGUGAACGAUGAAGGUCU
rnacentral:rRNA from 1 species